rnacentral:tRNA from 1 species
GCCUCGGUAGCUCAGUGGUAGAGCGAAUGCCUGAAGAGCAUUGCGUCGGGGGUUCGAUUCCCUCCCGAGGCA